rnacentral:rRNA from 1 species
CCAGACUCCUACGGGAGGCAGCAGUGGGGAAUAUUGCACAAUGGGGGAAACCCUGAUGCAGCGACGCCGCGUGAGUGAAGAAGUAUUUCGGUAUGUAAAGCUCUAUCAGCAGGAACGAGACAAGACGGUACCUGACUAAGAAGCCCCGGCUAACUACGUGCCAGCAGCCGCGGUAAUACGUAGGGGGCAAGCGUUAUCCGGAAUCACUGGGCGUAAAGGGAGCGUAGACGGCUGUGCAAGCCUGAAGUGAAAGGCGGGGGCCCAACCCCUGGACUGCUUUGGGAACUGUGCAGCUAGAGUGCAGGAGAGGUGAGUGGAAUUCCUAGUGUAGCGGUGAAAUGCGUAGAUAUUAGGAGGAACACCAGUGGCGAAGGCGGCUUACUGGACUGUAACUGACGUUGAGGCUCGAAAGCGUGGGGAGCAAACAGGAUUAGAUACCCCGGUAC